rnacentral:rRNA from 1 species
AUGCACGCUGGCGGCGUGCCUAAUAUAUGCAAGUCGAGCGAACAGACGAGGAGCUUACUCCUCUGACGUUAGCGGCGGACGGGUGAGUAACACGUGGAUAACCUACCUAUAAGACUGGGAUAACUUCGGGAAACCGGAGCUAAUACCGGAUAACAUGUUGAACCGCAUGGUUCAACAGUGAAAGACGGUCUUGCUGUCACUUAUAGAUGGAUCCGCGUCGCAUUAGCUAGUUGGUAAGGUAACGGCUUACCAAGGCAACGAUGCGUAGCCGACCUGAGAGGGUGAUCGGCCACACUGGAACUGAGACACGGUCCAGACUCCUACGGGAGGCAGCAGUAGGGAAUCUUCCGCAAUGGGCGAAAGCCUGACGGAGCAACGCCGCGUGAGUGAAGAAGGUCUUCGGAUCGUAAAACUCUGUUAUUAGGGAAGAACAAAUGUGUAAGUAACUAUGCACGUCUUGACGGUACCUAAUCAGAAAGCCACGGCUAACUGCGUG